rnacentral:rRNA from 1 species
AGCGUACACGGUGGAUGCCUUGGCAGUCAGAGGCGAUGAAGGACGUAUUAACUUGCGAUAAGCCCAGAUUAGGUAGUAAAAACCACUUGAGUCUGGGAUUUCCGAAUGGGGAAACCCACUAGCAUAAGCUAGUAUCGCUGCGUGAAUACAUAGCGCAGCGAGGCGAACCGGGGGAACUGAAACAUCUAAGUACCCCGAGGAAAAGAAAUCAACCGAGAUUCCGAAAGUAGCGGCGAGCGAAAUUGGACUAGCCCUUAAGCUUUUUAUGCGUCAGGUGAAACUUCUGGAAAGUUGUGCGAUACAGGGUGAUAGCCCCGUAACCGGCAACGCAUUUAAAGUGAAAUCGAGUAGGGCGGGACACGUGAUAUCCUGUCUGAAUAUGGGGGGACCAUCCUCCAAGGCUAAAUACUACUGACUGACCGAUAGUGAACCAGUACCGUGAGGGAAAGGCGAAAAGAACCCCUGUGAGGGGAGUGAAAUAGAACCUGAAACCGUGUACGUACAAGCAGUAGGAGCACCUUCGUGGUGUGACUGCGUACCUUUUGUAUAAUGGGUCAGCGACUUAUAUUCAGUGGCAAGGUUAACCAUCUAGGGGAGCCGUAGGGAAACCGAGUCUUAACUGGGCGUUCAGUCUCUGGAUAUAGACCCGAAACCAGGUGAUCUAGCCAUGGGCAGGUUGAAGGUUGAGUAACAUCAACUGGAGGACCGAACCGACUAAUGUUGAAAAAUUAGCGGAUGACUUGUGGCUAGGGGUGAAAGGCCAAUCAAACCUGGAGAUAGCUGGUUCUCCCCGAAAGCUAUUUAGGUAGCGCCUCGGACGAAUACUACUGGGGGUAGAGCACUGUUAAGGCUAGGGGGUCAUCCCGACUUACCAACCCUUUGCAAACUCCGAAUACCAGUAAGUACUAUCCGGGAGACACACGGCGGGUGCUAACGUCCGUCGUGGAGAGGGAAACAACCCAGACCGCCAGCUAAGGUCCCAAAUUACUACUAAGUGGGAAACGAUGUGGGAAGGCUCAGACAGCCAGGAUGUUGGCUUAGAAGCAGCCAUCAUUUAAAGAAAGCGUAAUAGCUCACUGGUCGAGUCGGCCUGCGCGGAAGAUGUAACGGGGCUAAGUAGUAAACCGAAGCUGCGGCAAUGCACUUUAGUGCAUUGGGUAGGGGAGCGUUCUGUAAGCGGUUGAAGGUGUGUGGUAACGCAUGCUGGACGUAUCAGAAGUGCGAAUGCUGACAUGAGUAACGAUAAAGGGGGUGAAAAACCUCCUCGCCGGAAGACCAAGGGUUCCUGUCCAACGUUAAUCGGGGCAGGGUAAGUCGACCCCUAAGGCGAGGCCGAAAGGCGUAGUCGAUGGGAAACGGGUUAAUAUUCCCGUACUUCUUACAAUUGCGAUGGGGGGACGGAGAAGGCUAGGUGGGCCUGGCGACGGUUGUCCAGGUUCAAGUGCGUAGGCUGAGAAAUUAGGUAAAUCCGGUUUCUCUUAAGGCUGAGACACGACGUCGAGCUACUACGGUAGUGAAGUCAUUGAUGCCAUGCUUCCAGGAAAAGCCUCUAAGCUUCAGAUUGUAAGGAAUCGUACCCCAAACCGACACAGGUGGUCGGGUAGAGAAUACCAAGGCGCUUGAGAGAACUCGGGUGAAGGAACUAGGCAAAAUGGUACCGUAACUUCGGGAGAAGGUACGCUCUCGACGGUGAAGUCCCUCGCGGAUGGAGCUAUUGAGAGUCGCAGAUACCAGGUGGCUGCAACUGUUUAUUAAAAACACAGCACUGUGCAAAAUCGUAAGAUGACGUAUACGGUGUGACGCCUGCCCGGUGCCGGAAGGUUAAUUGAUGGGGUUAGACUUCGGUCGAAGCUCUUGAUCGAAGCCCCGGUAAACGGCGGCCGUAACUAUAACGGUCCUAAGGUAGCGAAAUUCCUUGUCGGGUAAGUUCCGACCUGCACGAAUGGCGUAAUGAUGGCCACGCUGUCUCCACCCGAGACUCAGUGAAAUUGAAAUCGCUGUGAAGAUGCAGUGUACCCGCGGCUAGACGGAAAGACCCCGUGAACCUUUACUACAGCUUGGCACUGAACAUUGACCCUACAUGUGUAGGAUAGGUGGGAGGCUUUGAAACUAGUACGCCAGUAUUAGUGGAGCCGUCCUUGAAAUACCACCCUUGUAGUGUUGAUGUUCUAACGUUGACCCCUUAUCGGGGUUGCGGACAGUGCCUGGUGGGUAGUUUGACUGGGGCGGUCUCCUCCCAAAGCGUAACGGAGGAGCACGAAGGUGGGCUAAUCACGGUUGGACAUCGUGAGGUUAGUGCAAUGGCAUAAGCCCGCUUGACUGCGAGAAUGACAAUUCGAGCAGGUGCGAAAGCAGGUCAUAGUGAUCCGGUGGUUCUGAAUGGAAGGGCCAUCGCUCAACGGAUAAAAGGUACUCCGGGGAUAACAGGCUGAUACCGCCCAAGAGUUCAUAUCGACGGCGGUGUUUGGCACCUCGAUGUCGGCUCAUCACAUCCUGGGGCUGAAGUCGGUCCCAAGGGUAUGGCUGUUCGCCAUUUAAAGUGGUACGCGAGCUGGGUUUAGAACGUCGUGAGACAGUUCGGUCCCUAUCUGCCGUGGGCGUUGGAAGAUUGAAGGGGGCUGCUCCUAGUACGAGAGGACCGGAGUGGACGAACCUCUGGUGUUCGGGUUGUGUCGCCAGACGCAUUGCCCGGUAGCUAAGUUCGGAAUCGAUAACCGCUGAAAGCAUCUAAGCGGGAAGCGAGCCCUGAGAUGAGUCUUCCCUGAUACUUUAAGUAUCCUAAAGGGUUGUUCGAGACUAGAACGUUGAUAGGCAGGGUGUGUAAGCGUUGUGAGGCGUUGAGCUAACCUGUACUAAUUGCCCGUGAGGCUUAACC